CAGGGUGGCUGGUUUGCCUGGGGAACACAUGAAGGAUGGAUGAGUAGCAACUGCCUGACUGGUCUGUUCAUGGAGUUGGCCUGUAUCCUGAAGCACAGGUUGGUCCAUAAGGGAAGAAGAGAAGUAGUAAGAGAAGUUGCUCUGGCUGGGAUGCAAAGAUAUGAAAGAAAAAAUGUGAAGUGUGAAGAAUUGCAGACAGCACAUCAACUGAAAAUACAUUGAUGAAGAAUGCAGAGGAGAUGUCAAGUAAUGAAUCUGAAUGUGCUACAGAAUAAUAAUUUUUGGUCUUACAUUAAAGGCACUAGAAAUAAAAAAGAUACAGAUCCUUAACCAGCCUGGCAAAUGCACUGUUAUUUAGUAGAGUGGAGUUCUGGAUAUAUCAAGAACUAGUAUGCUCAUUUCACAAGCAUAAGCAGACCCAAGAUCACACAAUAUGUCAGAGACUUAGCUGGAAAGAGAACUCAAAAGCUCUGGCUCCUACUCCCCUACUAGAAUAAUAGUUUUCUUGUAGAAUGAUUUAUAGAUUUUCAGGCUUUAAGUAAGUAAAAUCCAUGUAUUCAUUGUAGCAGAAUUUUUGGAAUCCUUUGUGUUUCUUUCCUAGCCAUGAGCGCUCUGCGGCUGACCUCCCAGUCAUCUGCUGUGUAUCAUAUACCCCUCUCUUUAAUGACUGUCCUCUACUAUGAUGUCCAGCUGCUAUUCCUUCCUUUAUAACUUUGAGAUUAUUUCUAUCUCUAUAUCUGAUGUGAACAAAGCAUGUAAGUUUGUGCCUAUUGCUUUCUGAUAUCAGGAUCUGUUUCUCUUCACAAAUAUUUCUACUAUAAGCAUUCCUUCGACUUUUCUGCCCAGCAGAUACUCAACAAUCUUCGCCAGCACCACAUCUCAAAAGCUUCAAUUUUCUUCCUGAUAGCAACACAAUUUUCCUAUGUUUUACAUCCAAAAAUUGCUAUGGACAAAAUUAAGCUUUUCACCAAUGAAACGUUCAUAUGUUUUUGAGAUGAUGUGGUUUUUCCAAAUUUCUGUAGAAUAGAUUUGUAGACAUACAUCUUGUAGGAAGUGAAUAAAAUUGCCUAUAGCUUGAUUUGAGUGCAAGGUUAACCUGUAAAUAACAAAGUGUGACAGACUGUGCACUGGAGAUAGUGUUUUCAGGCUAUUUGAGAUAAGUGGGAAUAAGCUGAACUGAUGAACUUGAAAUAUAGAUGAGGUGAAAACAUAAGUGAUGAAUUCCUCACACAGUCUGCAAAGCAGUUGGUCCUUACGUGAGCCAUACAAUGUUUAAACCAAAUAAAUUCAAGUGGCAUGGAUGCUAGUAGCAUGUGAUGUGAUUUGGAAUUACACUAUCACCUUGUAUCUAAACAUCCUGGGCCUGGCCAGCAUAGGCUGAGAGCUGGUUCAUGACUAAUAAAAGGAACCUGAAAGAUGAGCUGGUGUCAAAUUGAAUUUGGAGCUCAAAGAAUGGGAUGAAGUGUUA